UACGGAGGGUGCAAGCGUUAUCCGGAUUCACUGGGUUUAAAGGGUGUGUAGGCGGGCAAUUAAGUCAGCGGUGAAAUCUCCGGGCUCAACCCGGAAACUGCCAUUGAUACUAUUUGUCUUGAAUAUCGUUGAGGUAGGCGGAAUAUGUCAUGUAGCGGUGAAAUGCUUAGAUAUGACAUAGAACACCGAUUGCGAAGGCAGCUUGCUAAACGAUGAUUGACGCUGAGGCACGAAAGCGUGGGGAUCAAACAGG
rnacentral:rRNA from 1 species